UCAUGGCUCAGAUUGAACGCUGGCGGAAUGCUUCACACAUGCAAGUCGAACGGCAGCACGGGAGCUUGCUCCUGGUGGCGAGUGGCGAACGGGUGAGUAAUACAUAGGAACAUACCCAGUAAUGGGGGAUAACGCCGAGAAAUCGGUGCUAAUACCGCAUACGCCCUACGGGGGAAAGUGGGGGAUCUUCGGACCUCGCGUUAUUGGAUUGGCCUAUGUCUGAUUAGCUAGUUGGUGAGGUAAAGGCUCACCAAGGCGACGAUCAGUAGCUGGUCUGAGAGGAUGAUCAGCCACACUGGAACUGAGACACGGUCCAGACUCCUACGGGAGGCAGCAGUGGGGAAUUUUGGACAAUGGGCGAAAGCCUGAUCCAGCCAUUCCGCGUGAGUGAAGAAGGCCUUCGGGUUGUAAAGCUCUUUCGGCAGGAACGAAAUGGUUGCGAUUAAUAACCGCGACUUCUGACGGUACCUGAAGAAGAAGCACCGGCUAACUACGUGCCAGCAGCCGCGGUAAUACGUAGGGUGCGAGCGUUAAUCGGAAUUACUGGGCGUAAAGCGUGCGCAGGCGGUUUUGUAAGUCAGAUGUGAAAGCCCCGGGCUUAACCUGGGAAUGGCGUUUGAAACUGCAAGGCUAGAGUGUGUCAGAGGGGGGUAGAAUUCCACGUGUAGCAGUGAAAUGCGUAGAGAUGUGGAGGAAUACCGAUGGCGAA
rnacentral:rRNA from 1 species